AACGCACCUUGCGCUCUUUGGUAUUCCGAAGAGCAUGCCUGUUUGAGUGUCAUUAAAUUCUCAAACCAAUAGCUUUAUUGUCUAUUGGCUUUGGACUUUGAGGGUUGUUGGUGCAAAUCGACUCCCUUUAAAUAUAUUAGCUGGCAUUGACUGCCAGACUAUGGUGUGAUAAUUAUCUACGCUAUUGGUCUGACAUGUUGGCCGCUUCUAAUCGUCUUCGGACAAUACAUUGACAAUUUGACCUCAAAUCAGGUAGGACUACCCGCUGAACUUAA
rnacentral:misc_RNA from 2 species